ACUCGAGUCACUGUCUGUAUUAUGGCAACUUAGAGAGCCGCGACCAUCAGAGCCAUGGCAACGAUCCGCGCGGCAACCAGACCGCGAGACUUACAGUGGAGCUGACCGGAACGGAGGAGAAGGGAGCUGACAGGAGCUGCAGGAAAGGUAAGUAAAUGCCUCCUGCCGGCUCCCCUCCUACACAGCCCAUGCCACUGGACCACCAGGGAUUAAGAUAGCCCCCCUCCCUGACCAGUUAACAAGCAGGGAGGGGGGGACAAAAACAAUAAAAAAAAUAAAAAUAAUUUUAAAUAAUAAAAAUGCCCUCCCCCCACCCAGUUCACACACACUACAC